rnacentral:lncRNA from 1 species
UUUAUGGGAUUUUGAGAAGUAUGGGAAAUUCUGGGGAGAAUUUUGGGGUCAAUUUAUGGGAUUUGGGGAGAAAUUUGGGUCAUUUUGGGGUGAAUGUAUGGAAUUUUGGAGAGAGUUGGGGGGAAUUGGGGUCAUUUUGGGAUCGUUUUGUGGGAUUUGGGGGAGAAUUGGGGAAAGUUUGGGUCAUUGGGUAUCAUUUUAUGGGAUUUUGGGGGAAAUUUGGGUCAUUGGGGAUCAUUUUAUGGGAUUUUGGGGAGAAUUGGGUGAAAUUUGGGUCAUUUGGGGUCAUUUUAUGGGAUUUUGGGGGAGAAUUGGGUCAUUUGGGGUCAUUUUAUGGGAUUUUAGGGAGAAUUGGGGGAAAUUUGGGUCAUUUUGGGUCAAUUUAUGGGAUUUGGGGGGAAAUUUGUGUCCUUUUGAGGUCAUUUCAUGGGAUUUUAGGGAGAAUUGGGUGAAAUUUGGGUCAUUUGGGGUCUAUUUAUGGGAUUUUGGGGGAAAUUUGUGUCCUUUUGGGGUCAUUUUAUGGGAUUUUGGGGAGGAUUUCGGUCAUUCUGGGGCAUUUGAUGGGAUUUUGGGGGAAAUUUGUGUCCUUUUGGGGUCAUUCUAUGGGAUUUUAGGGAGAAUUGGGGGAAAUUUGGGUCAUUUGGGGUCAAUUUAUGGGGUUUGGGGGGAAAAUUUGGUCAUUUUGGGUCAUUAUAUGGGAUUUUGGGGAGAGUUAUGGGAAAUUUGGGAUCAUUUUAUGGGAUUUUGGGGCGAGAUGUGGGAAAUUUGGGUCAUUUUGGGUCAUUUUAUGGGAUUUUGGGGGAGAAUUGGGGAAAUUUGGGUCAUUUUGGGUCAAUUUAUGGGAUUUGGGGGGAAAUUUGGGUCAUUUGGGAUCAUUUUAUGCGAUUUUGGGGAGAAUUGGGGAAAUUUGGGGUCAUUUUAUGGGAUUUUGGGGAGAAUUGGGGGAAAUUUGGGUCAUUUGGGGUCUAUUUAUGGGAUAUUGGGGAAAAUUUGGGUCCUUUUGGGGCCUUUUAUGGGAUUUUGGGGAGAAUUGGGUGAAAUUUGGGUCAUUUUGGGUCAUUUUAUGGGAUUUUGGGGAGAAUUGGGUGAAAUUGGGGUCAUUUGGGGUCAUUUUAUGGGAUUUUGGGGGAGAAUUGGGGGAAAUUUGGGUCAUUUGGGGUCAUUUUGUGGGAUUUUGGGGAAAAUUUGGGUCCUUUUGGGUCAUUUGAUGGGAUUUUGGGGAGAAUUGGGUGAAAUUUGGGUCACUUGGGGUCAUUUGAUGGGAUUUUGGGGGAAAUUUGUGUCCUUUUGGGGACAUUCUAUGGGAUUUGGGGGAGAGUUAUGGGAAAUUUGGGAUCAUUUUAUGGGAUUUUGGGGAGAAAUGUGGGAAAUUUGUGUCAUUUGGGGGCAUUUUAUGGGAUUUCAGGGAGAAUUAUGGGAUAUUUUGGGUCGUUUGGAGUCAUUUUAUGGGAUUUGGGGGGGGAGAAUUGGGGAAACAUUUCGGGUCAUUUGA